GGGUGUUUGGCCGAGUGGUUAAGGCGCUGUGUUUAGGUCGUCGCCAGGUUCUUCCUAGCGUACCUCAAACCCGCAGUGGGAAACCGCGCAGGUUCGAAUCCUGCAGCACUCA